GCGCUGGAGACUGCCGGACGGUAGUUUCCGUCCGAACAGCCGGACCCGAAGACCCCUCGCAGUGCCGGACGCUCUCCACGUGCAAUCGCCCGUGACCCCACGACCUUCCCUCAUCUCCACUCUGAUGGUGGCGGCGCCCAGACAGGAUCAGCGGCGGCGCCCCAUCCCGUCCUCGACUCCAUCGGUGACGGUGCCCAGCCAACAUCAGCAGCGACGCUCACCUUCCUCGACUCCAUCAGCGACGGUGCCGAGCCAGCAUCAGCAGGGCCCCUCCGUGCCCCCUUCUCAUCGGCGCAUGGUCAUCCCAUCGAUCAAUCCAUCCGAAUAGGAGGCUUAUCAUUGCAGAUUGCAGAUCUGGUUGAUUUUAUUGAUCUUGUUGCUAUCACAUUUCUAAUUUUCUACUUAAAUCAAAUCAUCUUCUCUUGGAUACAAGGCAUUCUCUCAUUGUCUCUUGCGGCGAUCUUUGCUUCUCUGCACUUGUUGUCGACGGUCACAUGGAAUUAAAAAGAGUAUUUCUAGAUAUGUUUCAAAGAAGUGUAUGUUUAGAUACUAAAAAAAGUGUAUGUUAGAUACUUUUUGAAAGAAGAGUAUGUUUAGAUAC